UUGUUUUGCUUAUGGUUUCCUUUGCUGUGCAAAAGUUUGUAAGUUUGAUUAGGUCCCAUUUGUUUAUUUUUGUUUUUAUUUCUAUUUCCUUGGGAGACUGACUGCCUCAGGUACGAUUUGUCAGGCAAUGUUUUGCCUAUGUACUCUUCCAUGAGUUUUAUGGUGUCAUGUCUUAUGUUUAAGACUUUAAGCCAUUUUGAGUUUGUUUAUGUACAAGGUGGUGUGAG